rnacentral:tRNA from 2 species
GGGCGCGUAGUUUAAUGGUAAAAUAACUGGCUCCAGACCAGUAGCCGGGGGUUCAAUUCCCUCCGUGCCCA